UUUGAGGGGACCUGCUCCUAGUACGAGAGGACCGGAGUGGACGCACCUCUGGUGUACCGGUUAUGACGCCAGUCGUAUCGCCGGGUAGCUAAGUGCGGAAGAGAUAACCGCUGAAAGCAUCUAAGCGGGAAACUCGCCUCGAGAUGAGACUUCCCGGGGGUUAAACCCCCCUAAAGGUUCGUCGUAGACCACGACGUUGAUAGGUCGGGUGUGGAAGCGCAGUAAUGCGUUAAGCUAACCGAUACUAAUUGACCGUGCGGCUUGAUCCU
rnacentral:rRNA from 1 species